GUCAGUGAAAAUGUAUGUGUGCUUGUCAGUGAGAGUGUAUAUGUGUUUGUAUGUGUGUCUGUCAAAGAGUAUGUGUAUUUGUCAGUGAGUGUGUAUGUGUACUUGUCAGUGAGAGUGUAUGUGUGCUUGUCACUGAGAGUGGAAGUGUGCUUGUCAGUGAGAAUGUAUGUGUGCUUGUUAGUGAGAGUGUAUGUCAAUGAGUAUGUUUGUCUGAGUGUGUGUCAGUGUGUGUAUUGGUGUGUGUGUGUGUGUGUGUGUGUGCCAUUGUAUAUCAGUGUGUUUCUAUGUGCCUAUGUGUGUGUGUAUGUCAGUGUGCGUAAAUGACACUGUGUGUAUGUGUCAAUGUGUGUAUCUGAGUGUGUGUAUGUGCAAGUGUGUGUAUCUGUGGGUACAAGUGUUUGUAUAUGUCACUGUGUGUAUCUGAGUGUGUGUGUACUUGUGAGUCAAGAUGUGUGUAUGUGUAACUAUGUGCAUCUGAAUGUUUGUAUCUGUGAGUCAAGGUCUGUGUGUCUGUGUUUGCAUGUGCCGGUGUGUGUCAAGGUGUGUGUAUCUGUGU